GCGUCCCCGCGGCCUCUAUUGUCCUUUUAAGGGGAGAAGCGGCGAGGCGCGGGAAACGCGGCGGCCCGCAGGGACGGGGGCGGGGCCUGCCUACUACGCAACGUCACGUAAACAAACGCCCGGGGGAAGGAGGCGACGCGGGGGCGUGGCAGGACGCGAAAGGUGUAAAGGGCCUGGCAGGGUGAGACUGCUCAACUGGUACUUUCAAGCCUGACCACCUGAAGGCGAGAUCCGACUUCUGCAAACUCAUUCCGCACACCAGAUGUAAAUAAAUUUUCAUUUCUCCAACA